AGAGUUUGAUCCUGGCUCAGAACGAACGCUGGCGGCGUGCUUAACACAUGCAAGUCGAACGCGAAAGGGACUUCGGUCCCGAGUAGAGUGGCGCACGGGUGAGUAACGCGUAAGUGAUCUACCCCUGUAUUUGGGAUAACUAUGGGAAACUGUAGCUAAUACCGGAUACGUUCAUGUUCUUGCGAGUAUAUGAAGAAAGAUGGCCUCUGAUUCAAGCUAUUGUACAGGGAGGAGCUUGCGUACCAUUAGCUAGUUGGUAGGGUAAUGGCCUACCAAGGCAACGAUGGUUAGCGGGUCUGAGAGGAUGAUCCGCCACACUGGAACUGAAACACGGACCAGACUCCUACGGGAGGCAGCAGUGAGGAAUAUUGCGCAAUGGGGGCAACCCUGACGCAGCGACGCCGCGUGGAUGAUGAAGGCCUUCGGGUCGUAAAGCUCUGUCAGCAGGGAAGAACGGCCGUGUGGUUAAUACCCAUGCGGAUUGACGGUACCUGCAGAGGAAGCACCGGCUAACUCCGUGCCAGCAGCCGCGGUAAUACGGAGGGUGCGAGCGUUAAUCGGAAUUACUGGGCGUAAAGGGCGCGUAGGCGGCCGAUCAAGUCAGAUGUGAAAGCCCACGGCUUAACCGUGUGAAGUGCAUCUGAAACUGGUCGGCUUGAGUAUCGGAGAGGAAAGUGGAAUUCCCGGUGUAGAGGUGAAAUUCGUAGAUAUCGGGAGGAAUACCGGUGGCGAAGGCGACUUUCUGGACGAAUACUGACGCUGAGGCGCGAAAGCGUGGGGAGCAAACAGGAUUAGAUACCCUGGUAGUCCACAGCUGUAAACGAUGUGCACUAGAUGUGGGGAAGUGUUGACCUUUCCUGUGUCGCAGCUAACGCAUUAAGUGCACCGCCUGGGGAGUACGGCCGCAAG
rnacentral:rRNA from 1 species